AUCCCCCUGAUGAGCUCCAUCCAUAUUCCAUAGGAACACCGUCAUACAGCCCCCCGGAAUGGAACGACUUCGGCUGGUACCAUGGCGAGGCAGCGACCGUCUGGUCCCUGGGCAUCCUGCUGCACGAGAUGGUCUGCGGGGAGCACCCUUUCAGGAGGGGCAGGAACAUCAGAUGGGGCCAGCUCCCGCUGCCACAACGGCUCUCCCAAGACUGCCAGAUUCUGAUCAGGUGGUGUUUAUCCCUGAACUCCUUGGACAGGCCCUCAUUAGAAGACCUGUCCUGUGAUCCCUGGAUGCAGGAUAUUCAUCAGCCCUAGAAGAAGGGAGAGAGCCACAGGCACAGUGAUGCAGGGACCUGCCAGGCCCUGGGCAGAACCCUGACAGCCUGGUGUCACCCCAGGGAAGAAGGAGCCCCUGGAGAAGUUGUACCAGGUGGGGCUGCUGCUGCUGCUGCUGGAGACAUGGAGGACAGCAGCAAGGAUGACAACCUCUUCCUGCACCUGGCCAGCGGGAGCUGGCGAUGAUGGACUUUGAUUCUGGCACCUUCUUCAAAGCCAGGCUCCACAGGGAAUUUUCAGGAAGCGUUCCAGGUGGGGUCCAGUCUGGAUCAGGAAGUGCUUGGGACCAGCUGUGGCGUGGAUGGGCCGUGCCCUUGGAGAAGACUGAGGACAUCGUUUGGGACCAGCUUUUCUUGUGGCAGCGGAUGGUGUGAGCCGGGCUCUGCGGAUGCUGAGGCUGCUCUGGGCUCUGCCAGGGCUCUGCUGGGCUCAGCACCGGGCCGGGAUCAGCCAAAGAAGAAACGCUGUGACCUGCAG